GGGAUCUUGCUCAAUGAGCGCAAGCUUGAAGCAGCGACGCCGCGUGGGCGAUGAAGGUUUUCGGAUCGUAAAGCCCUUUUCUGCGUGACGAGGAAGGACGGUAGCGCCGGAAGCAGUGUCGGCGCACUACGUGCCAGCAGCCGCGGUGAAACGUAGGACGCAAACGUUAGCCGGAGUUACUGGGCGUAAAGCGCGUGCAGGCGGGUCGAUAAGUCGGUUAUGAAAGCUCCCGGCUAAACUGGGAGAGGAUGACCGGGACUGUCGGUCUAGGGUGCGAGAGAGGGGUGCGGAAUUCCGGGUGUAGUGGUGAAAUGCGUAGAUAUCCGGAGGAACACCAGUGGCGAAGGCGGCGCCCUGGCUCGCAACUGACGCUGAGACGCGAAAGCGUGGGGAGCGAA
rnacentral:rRNA from 1 species